rnacentral:rRNA from 1 species
UACAGGGGGGGCAAGCGUUGUUCGGAAUUACUGGGCGUAAAGGGCCAGUAGGCGGCCAACUAAGUCCGACGUGAAAUCCCAAAGCUUAACUUUGGAACUGCGUCGGAUACUGGAUGGCUUGAAUUCGGGAGAGGGAUGCAGAAUUCCAGGUGUAGCGGUGAAAUGCGUAGAUAUCGAGAGGAACACCUGCGGCGAAGGCGGGUUGCUGGGCCGACACUGACGCUGAUGCGCGAAAGCCAGGGGAGCGAACGGG